AAAGCCACAUUUGUUAGCAAUCUGGCUAAAGACGUUUUUGCAAAACUUCAAUCGAUAUGUUCCGAAAUCAAUUAAAAAAUUUAUUUAGGCUCAUACUAGAACCUGCUAAAGCUAGAAAUAAAAAGAUUAGCGGCUCUACGACUGGAAUACAAAAUGGAAGUAAAACUACCAAUGACAUAUAAUAAUACCUAGACUGACAAUUCAUUCAUAAAAAGCAUGUAUCAAUUGAAAUCAGCUGGAGACGCCAUUAACACCAUGAUGAGUACAUCGAUGAUAAUUUAUUUGUCUUAGAACCAAUUCUUCAUUAAUAGAUAGCUAUGAGUCGCUGUACAUCAUGCAACAAUAAUAGCUAUACAAGCUUAACCUCUAAAAAAAAAUUCUUUUCAUAGAUUCCCUAUUAAGAAUAAAAUUUUGAUAUCAAAAAUAAGAUAAAUUUUAUUCCAACCAAAUACACCUCUGUGGAGCCCAUUUUUCAGAAGAAUGUUUUCUUCCCUCAGUUACAGGAUAUGCUAUUUUGAAGGAAGGAUCUGUACCAUCCAUUUUUAAUUCCAGACCCUUUCAGGAUAUAUAAUAUAUUUAUUUUAAAUUAAUAUUUUUUUAAGAUAACAAAUAUCCCAUUAAAUAGAAAUAAAAUUCUUAGAAUUUGUAACUUUAUAGUAAAAAAUGAUCAUACUUAUGCUGCUAAUAGUUACUCUUCAACUAAAAGGAGAAAAUUAGAUAUCCUUAAUAAUACUCUAGAAGCUGAAGGCUUAGAAGAGCCUGUUAGAGAUAAUAGCCCAAAUACAUCUGCCAGCUAUCAAAAUACUCUUGAGGAUGAGUGUUUAAAGAAAUCGGAAAGAGAUGUAAACCAUAUAUACUUAGUAAAAAGCUUCUUCAGAUGAAUAUUGAUUCUACCAACUUAUUAAUUGCAAAUAACAAUGAAGAUGCUUAAUCUUCUAUUAAUAAACCUACAUUUCCUAAAUAUCAUGAUGAUCAUAUUUAUGCGACUAAUAUAUCAUCCUUAAGAAGGAAAUUUAUUUAUCAACAGAAAUAUAUUCAAAACUUACGAAAAAAGAUAAGAGCUUCUUCUGAUAGAGCAAAUAGACGAAAUAAAAAAAUUUACAAUUUACAAUCUUAGAUAAAUGGCGAAGGGGAAAAUGUUAUAGAAGAUUUUUUUUCAGGCCUACCUUUAUCAUUUAUUAAAACUCAAGUUCAUAGUGGGGGAGUAAAAAAUAAAAUAUAGUAGUGAAAUGAAGCAAUUUGCAUCAACACUACCUUUUUACUCCCCCAAGGCUUAUAAUUAUCUUAGAAAUCAAUUCUGUUUGCCUGCAGAGUCUACACUAAGAAUCUGGAGUCAGCAAAUACAAAUAAGGCCAGGUUUUUUAGAUUCUUCCUUAAAACGGAUUAAAACAUUUCAAUCAAAUUCGCAUGUACAAUUAUAUACUAUUUUAAAUCUUGAUGAAAAGUCUAUUCGGCGACAUAAUAAUUGGGAUAAAAAAGAAUUUCAUGGAUACAUCGAUUUUGGUAAUGGAAUAAAACCUUCCGAAUCUAUACCUGAGGCAAGUAAAGCAUUAUUUCUUAUGGCAACUUGUUUAAAUGGUACAUGGAAAAUUCCAUUAGGAUAUUUUUAGUUGCCUAUUUGAGUUCUGAGACUUUAUCAAACAUAGUAACAAAUACCCUCCAUUUAUUGCAUGAUACUGGGGUUAUAUGUAAGGCAAUAGUAUGUGAUGGUCUUUCAACAAAUAUAAAAAUGUGUCAAUUACUUGGUGCCUCUUUGGACCCAAAUAAUUGUAUUCCUUAUUUUCUUCAUCCGAGCAAUUAUAAGGAAAAAGUUUGUUAUUUUGGACGUUUGCCAUAUGAUGAAACUCCUUAGAAAUCUACUCGGCGAUAAAAAAAUUUUAAUCAAUAAUGGAGUAGUAAUAAAUUGGAAAUAUAUAGCAAACCUUCAUGAUUUACAGGAUAAGGAAGGACUAAGGGCUGCAAAUAAAAUUGGCCGUUCUCAUAUUGAUUAUCAUAAGCAGAUAAUGAAGGUUAAACUUGCCGUUCAAGUUUUUAGUAGCUCAGUAGCAAAAGGUAUUCUUUUAGCACAUGAGCUAAAAAUUGAUGGGUUUAAAACUAUGAAGGCACAGUAGACUUUAUUCAAAUGAUUGAUCUAAUGUUUGAUUUUUUAAAUACUCGAAACAUAUGUGCUAAAGGGUUUAAGGCCCCACUAUCUAAAAGAUCUCUUCCAUAAAUGAAGAUUAUUUUGAAAAAUGUAUCAAUACUCUUAAAGCUUUAAAGUUUGAAGAUGGGAAAUAUGUAUAUGAAUCAAAUAGAAAAACAUGCAUUAUAGGGUUAAUAGCAUCAAUGAAAAGUAUUCUGGGUAUUGGGAAUGAAUUAUUGGGACCUAAUCCCAAGCUCAAUUACUUUUUAACCUACAAAACCUCACAAGAUCAUCUUGAACUAUUUUUUAGUUGUUUACACAGCAGAGGAGGUUUUAACAAUAAUCCUUCUGCUUAUCAGUUACGAUCGGCCAUAAGAGAUGUCUUGGUAGCAAAACUGGAAGUGAUAACAACAGGAAGAAUGGGAGGAUCUUAUAAAAAUUAAAACUAUACUAUUGCCUUUAUAUGAAACUACAAAUAUGGUAUGUGGGGAGAAUUAUCCUACUUAUAAUUUGGUUAUACCUUAUUAUAUUUUAAUUCUUGAACAUCUAAAAAAUGAAAAACCUGGUUUCCAUAAAUCCUUUAACAAUAGUUUCAAAGUUGCAGUGAUAAAUUGUUGGGCUAUUAUAAAUUAACUGCCGAUUAUGCAAUAAUAACCACAAUAUUAGAUCCUAGGCUUAAAGUAGAAUAUUUUUAAUCAAUAUCUGUUGAUAAUGAUAUUGAUAUAUCCAAGUUAAUGGACAAAUUUAAAGAGAUUUACAAUAGGUAUACAGCUCAUAAUUAUAACUCUCAAACAAAUAAGGAUAAAAUUCAACAAAACAGGCUAUAAAUUGUUUUUAAACAAAAUAAUAUUCAACUGUGUGAAAUAGAUUUUUAUCUGAGUGAACCAAGAGCAAAGAGUGAUACUGACCCGUUAAUGUGGUGGAAGGCAAAUGCAUAUCGGAUCCCCAUACUCUCGAAAAUGGCAAGGGAUUAUCUAUCUAUAAAAGGAAUAUUAACUGCUUGUGAAAUACUUUUCUCAGUUGGAACUAAUUUAUUGUCAAAAAACCGCAUGUCAUAUAAGGAAGAAAAUAUAAGAAAAACUCUUUGCCUUAAA